UACGGGGGGGGCAAGCGUUGUUCGGAAUUACUGGGCGUAAAGGGCUCGUAGGCGGCCAACUAAGUCAGACGUGAAAUCCCUCGGCUUAACCGGGGAACUGCAUCUGAUACUGGAUGGCUUGAGUUCGGGAGAGGGAUGCGGAAUUCCAGGUGUAGCGGUGAAAUGCGCAGAUAUCGGGAGGAACACCGGUGGCGAAGGCGGUUCUCUGGGCCUGUACUGACGCUGAGGAGCGAAAGCGUGGGGAGCGAACAGG
rnacentral:rRNA from 1 species